rnacentral:misc_RNA from 1 species
GAUGAAGAACGCAGCGAAAUGCGAUAAGUAAUGUGAAUUGCAGAAUUCAGUGAAUCAUCGAAUCUUUGAACGCACAUUGCGCCCGCCAGUAUUCUGGCGGGCAUGCCUGUUCGAGCGUCAUUUCAACCAUCAAGCCCCCGGCUUGUGUUGGGGACCUGCGGCUGCCGCAGGCCCUGAAAACCAGUGGCGAGCUCGCUGUCACACCGAGCGUAGUAGAUUUUCAUCUCGCUCAGGGCGUGCUGCGGGUUCCGGCCGUAAAAAGCCUUAUUUACCCAAGGUUGACCUCGGAUCAGGUAGGAAGACCCGCUGAACUUAAGCAUAUCAAUAAGCGGAGGA